rnacentral:lncRNA from 1 species
AGGGCUACUGUAAGACCAGUCAUGACUACUCCGGUGAUUUCUCUUUUAUGUCUUCUUAGCUUCAUGACAAUGCUGGAAAGGGAGCCCUAAGAUCGUCCCAUUAACAGAUGAGGAGACUGGGCUACGCAGCAACCAGGUGCCUAUGCCAAGGUCAUGACCGAGGCAGGCUUUGAACUCCAGGCCCUUUGCCUCUUACGCCACCUGGCCCAUGACUCCUGGUGUACGAAGCCCAGCAACAUGGAAGGGCAGGCAGGGCUGGGGACAAGCCGAAGCACCACACAGGCGACCACACAGGUAGAGAUGGAUCUGCAAGUAUCUUGGCCUGGCUCUGCCCUCAGAGACACUCAGCAAGUUCUCCCAAGGCAUUGAAUAUAUUUUGUACAUGUCACCUCCAGUUCUCCUAGCAACUGAUGAAGAAGCCUGUGUUAUCAGCCCUGUUGUACAGACUGGGUAAGUGAGGCACAGAGACAUCAUGUGACUUACCCAAGAUCACACAGCUAAUUAGCACCAGAGCCAGGAUUCAAACACCAGCUUUCAAGCUCUGAAUUGGCACUGCUCAAUAAAUACUCAGAAGACAAGCA